rnacentral:rRNA from 1 species
GAUGAAGGGCGUGCUAAUCUGCGAUAAGCGCCGGUAAGGUGAUAUGAACCGUUAUAACCGGCGAUACCCGAAUGGGGAAACCCAGUGUGAUUCGUCACACUAUCAUUAACUGAAUCCAUAGGUUAAUGAGGCGAACCGGGGGAACUGAAACAUCUAAGUACCCCGAGGAAAAGAAAUCAACCGAGAUUCCCCCAGUAGCGGCGAGCGAACGGGGAGGAGCCCAGAGCCUGAAUCAGCAUGUGUGUUAGUGGAAGCGUCUGGAAAGGCGCGCGAUACAGGGUGACAGCCCCGUACACAAAAGCGCAUGUGCUGUGAGCUCGAUGAGUAGGGCGGGACACGUGGUAUCCUGUCUGAAUAUGGGGGGACCAUCCUCCAAGGCUAAAUACUCCUGACUGACCGAUAGUGAACCAGUACCGUGAGGGAAAGGCGAAAAGAACCCCGGCGAGGGGAGUGAAAAAGAACCUGAAACCGUGUACGUACAAGCAGUGGGAGCACAGGUUUACCUGUGUGACUGCGUACCUUUUGUAUAAUGGGUCAGCGACUUAU